rnacentral:rRNA from 1 species
GAUGAACGCUGGCGGCGUGCCUAAUACAUGCAAGUCGAACGAAACUUCUUUAUCACCGAGUGCUUGCACUCACCGAUAAAGAGUUGAGUGGCGAACGGGUGAGUAACACGUGGGCAACCUGCCCAAAAGAGGGGGAUAACACUUGGAAACAGGUGCCAAUACCGCAUAACCAUAGUUACCGCAUGGUAACUAUGUAAAAGGUGGCUAUACUACCGCUUUUGGAUGGGCCCGCGGCGCAUUAGCUAGUUGGUAGGGUAAAGGCUUACCAAGGCAAUGAUGCGUAGCCGAAUUGAGAGGUUGAUCGGCCACAUUGGGACUGAGACACGGCCCAAACUCCUACGGGAGGCAGCAGUAGGGAAUCUUCCACAAUGGGCGAAAGCCUGAUGGAGCAACGCCGCGUGGGUGAAGAAGGUCUUCGGAUCGUGAAACCCUGUUGUUAGAGAAGAAAGUGCGUGAGAGUAACUGUUCACGUUUCGACGGUAUCUAACCAGAAAGCCACGGCUAACUACGUG